UACGUAGGGUGCGAGCGUUGUCCGGAAUUAUUGGGCGUAAAGAGCUCGUAGGCGGUUUGUCACGUCUGCUGUGAAAUCCCGAGGCUCAACCUCGGGCCUGCAGUGGGUACGGGCAGGCUAGAGUUCGGUAGGGGAGACUGGAAUUCCUGGUGUAGCGGUGAAAUGCGCAGAUAUCAGGAGGAACACCGGUGGCGAAGGCGGCUUUCUGGACAGGUACUGACGCUGAGACGCGAAAGCGUGGGGAGCAAACAGG
rnacentral:rRNA from 1 species